AGAGUUUGAUCCUGGCUCAGGAUGAACGCUAGCGGGAGGCCUAACACAUGCAAGCCGAGCGGUAGAGAUUCUUCGGAAUCUUGAGAGCGGCGUACGGGUGCGGAACACGUGUGCAACCUACCUUUAUCUGGAGGAUAGCCUUUCGAAAGGAAGAUUAAUACUCCAUAAUAUAUUGAUUGGCAUCAAUUGAUAUUGAAAGCUCCGGCGGAUAGAGAUGGGCACGCGCAAGAUUAGUUAGUUGGUGAGGUAACGGCUCGCCAAGACGAUGAUCUUUAGGGGGCCUGAGAGGGUGAUCCCCCACACUGGUACUGAGACACGGACCAGACUCCUACGGGAGGCAGCAGUGAGGAAUAUUGGUCAAUGGGUGCAAGCCUGAACCAGCCAUCCCGCGUGAAGGACGACUGCCCUAUGGGUUGUAAACUUCUUUUGUAUAGGGAUAAACCUACCCUCGUGAGGGUAGUUGAAGGUACUAUACGAAUAAGCACCGGCUAACUCCGUG
rnacentral:rRNA from 1 species